UCUUAAUUUAAAAGACAGUAGUUAAACUCUACUAUUAAGGG
rnacentral:tRNA from 3 species